rnacentral:lncRNA from 1 species
AAGAAGAGUUCUGGAAAGUGAAGGACUUCCUGCAGAGUCAGGUGGGUAGUUGCAUCUCUGGUCCCCUCACAGGCUGUGACCUCCGUUAUCAUCCCCGAGGUCUUCCUGUGUGUGGGGCCAGGAGAGCCUUGUGGGUCUGCGCUUCAGGCGAAGUGACCCUCUGCUCACGACAUGCUGGUGUAACUCCCCGAAGCUUCGUCCUGUGGGAAGAGAAGUUUGCAGGUUUAGGGAGCUUUGUGGAGAUUGGCUGGUGAAGUCUAAGGGGAUGAAGCUCCUUAGAGCUAACCGGAAACUGGGAAGAGGGCAAUGGGACUGGUCGUGCCAAAGAACAAAGGAGGUCAGUGAAGGGCCAGGUCCCCGUUCCCUGGAGGAGUUCUAGCACCAGCAGACUUCCAUGAGAGUAACCCAUGAGGGCAGAAGGCUCUCCCAUAAACUGAGCAUCCCCAACUCCAGAGCAAGAUGGGACUGAGUGGAUCCGAAGCAACGCCCAGAUGGCUUCUUCUGUCGUGGGGUCUGUGUGGAGGUCCUCUGAACCCUCUGGCUGGUUGCCAAGCCUCUGGAGCUCAGUGAUGUGAAUUUGACUCCUGGGGGUUUUGUUGGCUUGACUACAGAUGGACCUUACAUGGCCCUGGGCUUUGGCUUUCAUUGCUUUGGUGAUUAACUGCCUCCAACUUUCCAAAAGUUUGUAGUCCCAUCAUGUCAACCUGUCAUUUGCUUGUACUUGUAUAUGGCCCCUCGUUACCAUGCUUUGGGGUUCAUGCUGAACUUUAUUUCCCCAGGAUCGCCCUCAACCCCCUAGAAGAUGCCAAAAUCAGUACUUCUCACCAGAAGCACUUCAUUCCCCUGCUCUGACCCCCACACCUCUUUUGUCCUCAGACCAUGGCUGCUGUUGGAGGGGGUGGACUGAGCAGACCCACUGGGCACGCUACUGAGGACAGGUGUCUGUGUUUCUUACAGGGAAAGCAGAAGUACACUCUGCCACUGUACCAUGCCAUGAUGGGUGGCAGCGAGAUGGCCCGGACCCUCGCCAAGGAGACCUUUGCAGCCACCGCUUCCCAGCUCCACAGUAACGUGGUCAACUAUGUCCAGCAGAUCCUGGAGCCCAAGGGCAGUUAGAGGCUCACCUGGGUGGUCCCUGCCUUUCUGAAGAAUUGUUCCUUCCCAAAUUCAUGUUCUCAAGUCAGCGUCCCGGAGUUUCUGUUCUCUGGGUUUGGGUCUCUGCCGUGGUGGCAGCUUCUGGUCUAGAGAGUCCUGAGAGUCCUAAAAGGGCCUCCCAUGCUCCCCUUAGACCAGGCUGCAGAGCAUAAAAUGUCAUUC